GUCCACGCUGUAAACGAUGUGCACUAGGCGUGGGCACGUACGUGUUCUGUGCCGUAGUUAACGUGUUAAGUGCACCGCCUGGGAGUAUGCUCGCAAGGGUGAAACUCAAAGGAAUUGACGGGGCCCGCACAAGCGGUGGAGCAUGUGGUUUAAUUCGAUGGUACACGAGGAACCUUACCAGGGCUUGACAUGUGCGUGAAUGUUCACGAGAGUGGGCAGCCCCGCAAGGGGCGCGCACACAGGUGCUGCAUGGCUGUCGU
rnacentral:rRNA from 1 species